GAGAGAGCCCUCUCUCUAAAAUUAAAAUUGGAACUAUAUAGAGAAGAGAAGAUUAGCAUGUCCCCUGCGCAACAAUAACACGCACAAAUCAAUAAAGCCAACGAUAACA
rnacentral:snRNA from 1 species